GAUGAACGCUGGCGGCGUGCCUAAUACAUGCAAGUCGAGCGAACAGAUGAGGAGCUUGCUCCUCUGACGUUAGUGGCGGACGGGUGAGUAACACGUGGAUAACCUACCUAUAAGACUGGGAUAACUUCGGGAAACCGGAGCUAAUACCGGAUAAUAUAUUGAACCGCAUGGUUCAAUAGUGAAAGACGGUUUUGCUGUCACUUAUAGAUGGAUCCGCGCCGCAUUAGCUAGUUGGUAAGGUAACGGCUUACCAAGGCAACGAUGCGUAGCCGACCUGGGAGGGUGAUCGGCCACACUGGAACUGAGACACGGUCCAGACUCCUACGGGAGGCAGCAGUAGGGAAUCUUCCGCAAUGGGCGAAAGCCUGACGGAGCAACGCCGCGUGAGUGAUGAAGGUCUUCGGAUCGUAAAACUCUGUUAUUAGGGAAGAACAAAUGUGUAAGUAACUAUGCACGUCUUGACGGUACCUAAUCAGAAAGCCACGGCUAACUACGUG
rnacentral:rRNA from 1 species